GGGUAUAGCUCAGUGGUAGAGCACCUAGCAUGCACAAGGUCCUGGGCUCAAUCCCCAGUACCUCCA
rnacentral:tRNA from 1 species